AGAGUUUGAUCCUGGCUCAGGAUGAACGCUGGCGGCGUGCUUAACACAUGCAAGUCGAACGAACCUUCGGGUUAGUGGCGGACGGGUGAGUAACGCGUGGGAAUCUGCCCUCAGGAGGGGGAUAACGGUUGGAAACGGCCGCUAAUACCCCAUAUGCCGAGAGGUGAAAUGAAUUUCGCCUGAGGAUGAGUCCGCGUCUGAUUAGCUAGUUGGUGAGGUAAUGGCUCACCAAGGCAUCGAUCAGUAGCUGGUCUGAGAGGAUGAUCAGCCACACUGGGACUGAGACACGGCCCAGACUCCUACGGGAGGCAGCAGUGGGGAAUUUUCCGCAAUGGGCGCAAGCCUGACGGAGCAACGCCGCGUGAGGGAUGAAGGCCUCUGGGCUGUAAACCUCUUUUCUCAAGGAAGAAGAUCUGACGGUACUUGAGGAAUAAGCCACGGCUAAUUCCGUGCCAGCAGCCGCGGUAAUACGGGAGUGGCAAGCGUUAUCCGGAAUUAUUGGGCGUAAAGCGUCCGCAGGCGGCUUUUCAAGUCUGCUGUUAAAGCGUGGAGCUUAACUCCAUCAAGGCAGUGGAAACUGAUUGGCUUGAGUGUGGUAGGGGCAGAGGGAAUUCCCGGUGUAGCGGUGAAAUGCGUAGAUAUCGGGAAGAACACCAGUGGCGAAGGCGCUCUGCUGGGCCAUAACUGACGCUCAUGGACGAAAGCCAGGGGAGCGAAAGGGAUUAGAUACCCCUGUAGUCCUGGCCGUAAACGAUGAACACUAGGUGUCGGGGGAAUCGACCCCCUCGGUGUCGUAGCCAACGCGUUAAGUGUUCCGCCUGGGGAGUACGCACGCAAGUGUGAAACUCAAAGGAAUUGACGGGGGCCCGCACAAGCGGUGGAGUAUGUGGUUUAAUUCGAUGCAACGCGAAGAACCUUACCAGGGUUUGACAUCCUGCGAACCUCUAAGAAAUUAGAGGGUGCCUUUGGGAACGCAGUGACAGGUGGUGCAUGGCUGUCGUCAGCUCGUGUCGUGAGAUGUUGGGUUAAGUCCCGCAACGAGCGCAACCCACGUUUUUAGUUGCCAGCAUUCAGUUGGGCACUCUAGAGAGACCGCCGGUGAUAAACCGGAGGAAGGUGUGGAUGACGUCAAGUCAUCAUGCCCCUUACAUCCUGGGCUACACACGUACUACAAUGCUACGGACAAAGGGCAGCGAACUCGCGAGGGCAAGCAAAUCCCAUAAACCGUGGCUCAGUUCAGAUCGUAGGCUGCAACUCGCCUACGUGAAGAAGGAAUCGCUAGUAAUCGCAGGUCAGCAUACUGCGGUGAAUACGUUCCCGGGCCUUGUACACACCGCCCGUCACACCAUGGAAGUUGGCCACGCCCGAAGUCGUUACUCCAACCCUUGUGGAGGAGGACGCCGAAGGUGGGGCUGAUGACUGGGGUGAAGUCGUAACAAGGUAACC
rnacentral:rRNA from 1 species